GAUGAACGCUGGCGGCGUGCCUAAUACAUGCAAGUCGAGCGAACGGACGAGAAGCUUGCUUCUCUGAUGUUAGCGGCGGACGGGUGAGUAACACGUGGAUAACCUACCUAUAAGACUGGGAUAACUUCGGGAAACCGGAGCUAAUACCGGAUAAUAUUUUGAACCGCAUGGUUCAAAAGUGAAAGACGGUCUUGCUGUCACUUAUAGAUGGAUCCGGGCUGCAUUAGCUAGUUGGUAAGGUAACGGCUUACCAAGGCAACGAUGCAUAGCCGACCUGAGAGGGUGAUCGGCCACACUGGAACUGAGACACGGUCCAGACUCCUACGGGAGGCAGCAGUAGGGAAUCUUCCGCAAUGGGCGAAAGCCUGACGCAGCAACGCCGCGUGAGUGAUGAAGGUCUUCGGAUCGUAAAACUCUGUUAUUAGGGAAGAACAUAUGUGUAAGUAACUGUGCACAUCUUGACGGUACCUAAUCAGAAAGCCACGGCUAACUACGUG
rnacentral:rRNA from 1 species